rnacentral:misc_RNA from 1 species
GAUGAAGAACGUAGCGAAAUGCGAUAAGUAAUGUGAAUUGCAGAAUUCAGUGAAUCAUCGAAUCUUUGAACGCACAUUACGCCCGCCAGUAUUCUGGCGGGCAUGCCUGUUCGAGCGUCAUUACAACCCUCAGGCCCCCGGGCCUGGCGUUGGGGAUCGGCGGAAGCCCCCUGUGGGCACACGCCGUCCCUCAAAUACAGUGGCGGUCCCGCCGCAGCUUCCAUUGCGUAGUAGCUAACACCUCGCAACUGGAGAGCGGCGCGGCCAUGCCGUAAAACACCCAACUUCUGAAUGUUGACCUCGAAUCAGGUAGGAAUACCCGCUGAACUUAAGCAUAUCAAUAAGCGGAGGA